rnacentral:rRNA from 1 species
GAUGAACGCUGGCGGUGUGCCUAAUACAUGCAAGUCGAGCGAACAGACGAGGAGCUUACUCCUCUGACGUUAGCGGCGGACGGGAGAGUAACACGUGGAUAACCUACCUAUACGACUGGGAUAACUUCGGGAAACCGGAGCUAAUACCGGAUAACAUGUUGAACCGAAUGGUUCAACCGUUAAAGACGGUCUUGCUGUAACUUAUAGCUGGAUCCGCGUCGCAUUAGCUAGUUGGUAAGGUAACGGCUUACCAAGGCAACGAGGCUUAGCCGACCCGAGGGGGUGGUCGGCCACACUGGAAGUGAGACACGGUCCCUACACCGACGGGAGGCAACAGUAGGGAAUCUUCCGCAAUGCGCGAAAGCCUGACAGUGCAACGCCGCGUAAGUGAAGAAGGUCUUCGGAUCGUAAAACUCUGUUAGUAGGGAAGAACAAAUGUGUAAGUAACUAUGCACGUCUUGACGGUACCGAAUCAGAAAGCCACGGCUAACUACGUG